rnacentral:lncRNA from 10 species
UAUGAAUCAGACAGUCCUGGUCGUCUACGUAUCUUUAUCUACUGAGAGUUUUGUGGGUUUUUUUGUUUAUUUUUUUGAGACAGAAUCUCACUCUGUAGUCACCCAGGCUGGAAUGCAGUGGUGCGAUCUUGGCUCACUGCAACCUCCACCUCCCAGAUGCAAGCGAUUCUUGUGCCUCAGCCUCCCGAGUAGCUGGGAUUAAAGGCAUGCGCCUAAGAAGUGAAGCUCAAACGUGCACAGAAGUAAUAAAUAUUGGACCUGUGAUUUUAAUGUACAGCUGGCAUUAAAUGUCGUGUGCAACACCUCUCACAGAUGAGCUUACUGGAAGUGAAAAUCAGAACAUCAGAGCCAAAGAAAGGAUUCUGACAAAAAGCUGUUGUGAUUGAGACAGCUUCCCAAGGCUGGAAAGAGGGGAGUGCGGAACAUGCCUCCACCAUACCACUGCCCACCUCCUGUGACCUCUGCAGCAAAACCUGAAGCCCCAAAGAGGCAGCUUCUCAAAGUAAAAGUGGAAUGAAGCUUAGGGAAAUGAUUCAUCUGUAAACAAAAUAUUAAAACCUAAGAAGCCUAUGAAUAUACGAUGUGAUUAGAUUUCCUUUAUUAUCUGACAUUGGCUUGAACCUCCCCUUACCAGGAAGAACAGUUGCCUCUCCCAAGGCAGCCCCCUAGUGCGACAUGUCUGUGGUGUGCUCUCCACUAGGUCCUUGUGUUUGUAGCACUGCCUCCUCUCUGAGCCAUUGUCCCAUCAGCUCUGUUACUACUGACGGCUGCCCUGGGCACAGCGAUUCUUCACUGCAUCUACCUAAGCUACCUCCAUUGUGGCUUCAGAAGAGACCUUCUUCCAUGGAUGGCUCACAGGACAGUUGAUGCCAGGAUGUCAUGAGCCGCAGAAAGAGAAGAAACUUCCUGGUGACCUGAAUUCCCAUGGAGGAAAGAGGAAAAGGACAUUAUGCAAGGAGAUGGCAUCUCGUGUCCCUGGUGAACCAAAUUCCAUUAGGAAGACGGUGCAGUGUGAGGUGGACCUGGACCUGGAUAAAAUGGGUGUUUAACAAGUAUUUGUUGAGUAGGUGGUGGAGGAGGCACGACUAGAUGCAGGGUCUAGCUGAGUUGACAAGAGCUAACACCAGGUGUGGACCAGGACAGGGGGACCUUAAGCGAAGACACCCUGCCAGAUGUGUCUUGUUCCCUUGACUGUGGGGAGGCCCUUGGUGGUGGGGUGACGGUCCCCCAGUCUGAGGAUUUUCCCUGGAUGUAGCCUCUCAGUGCUAAAAUGGGACAGUCCCAGGCAAACCAGGUCAGUUGGUCACUCUACUCAGUGAGCCCCGUGCUGUGUUCAAAUUUUCCUCUUAACAGAUGUGGAUGGAUUUCGGAAACUUAGAAACCACCAUUUCUCUGUGCCUGGGAGGAGAGUUAAAUCUUCUCACCAGAAUCCUUUUAUGUGUGAGAGAAAUAAAUAUCUAUCCUUUUUAUAUCUCUUUUGUUUUGGAUUCUUUGUCACCAGCAGCCAAACCCAAUUCUUACAUAAACGUGAUACUAAUUAAAUUCAUUUGCAUAAACUCACCAGUUUUAUCCUUAAUUACUGUGAUAUACACUCAUGAAGUAUGUACCCUAAAAUACCACUGUAAGUUUUAUUUGAUUACAGCAUUAAACUUAAUUUACAGAAAUGCUUGGCUUCUUUCAAUAGCUUGUUGAUUACAUAGUAUGAUCAUCUUCCCAGUAAGCACAACAAAUAAAACAGUGAAGUCAUUCGUAGGAAGAUGUGAGAAAGUGUUUAAAACACAACUUUUGAGAGUUAGAAAGACCUAGAAAGAGUAUCACUGGUUCCCUUGGGGAUUUCACCAGUCCUUAGCUACAACACAGUCAGUUGUAUAGAGCUUUCGGAUGUGCGUAUAUGUACAAUUUCGAAAAAGUUCAAUUGGUUCAAUUGCAGAAAGCUGCCCCAAUCUGCACAUGGGCCAAUUUCCAUUUGGUGCUGAAACAGUUUUAUAGAAAUUGCAAUAAUGUAGCCCACUCGCUGCAUGGACAGAAGCUGCCUAUUUCAAGUUAGGUGUUCAUUCAAUUUUCUUGUCCUUUAUUUCUAUAUUUAGUUUAUUCCCUUCCAAAGAUGUGUAACGAUAAGAAAGAGAGAAGAAGUAAGGAAGGAAGAUAUUUUCUUUUCUCUAUAUGUGUGUUUUAUCAACACAGCCUCAGCUUGAGAUCUCUUGGGAAAAGCAUUUCAAGACAGGCAGAAUGAUGUCCUUCCUGCCACAACAUAAUUUUCCAGUUGCCAGGGGAAA